AGAGUUUGAUCAUGGCUCAGUUUGAACGCUGGCGGCAGGCUUAACACAUGCAAGUCGAGCGGUAACAGGGGUAGCUUGCUACCCGCUGACGAGCGGCGGACGGGUGAGUAAUGCUUAGGAAUCUGCCCAGUAGUGGGGGACAACAAUCGGAAACGGUUGCUAAUACCGCAUACGCCCUACGGGGGAAAGCAGGGGAUCUUCGGACCUUGCGCUAUUGGAUGAGCCUAAGUCGGAUUAGCUAGUUGGUAGGGUAAAGGCCUACCAAGGCGACGAUCCGUAGCUGGUCUGAGAGGAUGAUCAGCCACAUCGGGACUGAGACACGGCCCGAACUCCUACGGGAGGCAGCAGUGGGGAAUAUUGGACAAUGGGGGAAACCCUGAUCCAGCCAUGCCGCGUGUGUGAAGAAGGCUUUCGGGUUGUAAAGCACUUUCAGCGAGGAGGAAGGCUCUAAAGCUAAUACCUUUAGGGAUUGACGUUACUCGCAGAAGAAGCACCGGCUAACUCCGUGCCAGCAGCCGCGGUAAUACGGAGGGUGCAAGCGUUAAUCGGAAUUACUGGGCGUAAAGCGCGCGUAGGUGGUUAGGUAAGCGAGAUGUGAAAGCCCCGGGCUUAACCUGGGAACGGCAUUUCGAACUGUCUGACUAGAGUGUGGUAGAGGGUAGUGGAAUUUCCUGUGUAGCGGUGAAAUGCGUAGAUAUAGGAAGGAACACCAGUGGCGAAGGCGGCUACCUGGACCAACACUGACACUGAGGUGCGAAAGCGUGGGGAGCAAACAGGCUUAGAUACCCUUGUAGUCCACGCCGUAAACGAUGUCUACUAGCCGUUGGGACUCUUGAAGUCUUAGUGGCGCAGCUAACGCACUAAGUAGACCGCCUGGGGAGUACGGCCGCAAGGUUAAAACUCAAAUGAAUUGACGGGGGCCCGCACAAGCGGUGGAGCAUGUGGUUUAA
rnacentral:rRNA from 1 species